AUGGAGCUUCUAGUGGCAGAUGAUUCUGGUACCUCUUCAAAACACUGUGCAAAUUCACCACUGAUCUUCGGACAGGGUACCCAGCUGACAGUGCUAGAGGAGAAUGACGAAAUCAUACCACCAGCUGUAGCCAUCUUUUCUCCAUCAAAACAAGAGAUCCAACAGAAAAGCAAGGCCACACUGGUGUGCCUGGCCUCUGGUUACUUUCCUAACUACCUCAGUCUGGUCUGGAAGGUGAACGGCAUUCAGAGGACAGAAGGAGUGGGGACAGAUGAGUCUGCAACGUGGAAUGGCAGUACCUACUCGUUGACCAGCCGACUGAGGAUCUCAGACCAGGAAUGGUUCAACCCUUUGAAUCAUUUUGAGUGCGUUGCCACGUUCUUUAACAAUGACACACUGGAAUCAAUACRCAAAUUCAUCACUGGUGAUGCUGAUUGUACUAUCUUCAAAGAAAACUACCAGAGAAGUGCUGUAGCUGGGAAGAUUGUGUACAUCAUGCUCAUUUUCAAGAGCAUGUUGUAUGGGAUAUUUGUGAUUGGGCUGAUGCUCAGGUCCAAGAAAAUGUACUAGAUGUGCUUUGCCUUGAAAGAUCAGGCCUGAAGAAGAGGGUGGAGAUACGUGGCAAGUGGAGAGCUCAAAUGUUUGUACAUACUACCUUACUUGCUUCAGAAACCAGCUCUUUCUUCUGACAAAUGCGGGAAAUCAUGUUUGUUUUUUUCACUUGUUUUAGAAAC